UACGUAGGGUGCAAGCGUUGUCCGGAAUUAUUGGGCGUAAAGAGCUCGUAGGCGGUCUGUCGCGUCUGCUGUGAAAACUCAGGGCUUAACCCUGAGCUUGCAGUGGGUACGGGCAGACUAGAGUGCGGUAGGGGAGACUGGAAUUCCUGGUGUAGCGGUGAAAUGCGCAGAUAUCAGGAGGAACACCGGUGGCGAAGGCGGGUCUCUGGGCCAUAACUGACGCUGGAGAAG
rnacentral:rRNA from 1 species